rnacentral:rRNA from 1 species
UACGUAGGGUGCGAGCGUUGUCCGGAAUUAGUUGGGCGUAAAGGGCUCGUAGGCGGUUUGUCGCGUCAGGAGUGAAAACUCGGGGCUUAACCCCGAGCCUGCUUCUGAUACGGGCAGACUAGAGGUAUGCAGGGGAGAACGGAAUUCCUGGUGUAGCGGUGAAAUGCGCAGAUAUCAGGAGGAACGACCGGUGGCGAAGGCGGGUCUCUGGGCCGUAACUGACGCUGAGGAGCGAAAGCGUGGGGAGCGAACAGGAUAGAA